UCUGUUAGAAGAGGUAAUUAGAACACGGGAGAUGGGAGCAUGCGGAAUAAGAUGCUCUGAUGCUAUCUAAUUUUGCACUUGAGAAUCAAUUACACACAGCUAGCUUGAGGAUAUAGAAGUUUUGUCCAACUUAAACAUAACGUCAUAGAUUUUGCCAACACAUUAAAAUGAGUCCAACU